rnacentral:rRNA from 1 species
GGCUCAGGAUGAACGCUGGCGGCGUGCUUAACACAUGCAAGUCGAACGGAGCUUACAUGAUAGAGGAUUCGUCCAAUUGACUGUAAGCUUAGUGGCGGACGGGUGAGUAACGCGUGAGUAACCUGCCUUGGAGUGGGGAAUAACACAGAGAAAUUUGUGCUAAUACCGCAUAAUGCAGUUGGGUCGCAUGGCUCUGACUGCCAAAGAUUUAUCGCUCUUAGAUGGACUCGCGUCUGAUUAGCUAGUUGGCGGGGUAACGGCCCACCAAGGCGACGAUCAGUAGCCGGACUGAGAGGUUGGCCGGCCACAUUGGGACUGAGACACGGCCCAGACUCCUACGGGAGGCAGCAGUGGGGAAUAUUGGGCAAUGGGCGCAAGCCUGACCCAGCAACGCCGCGUGAAGGAAGAAGGCUUUCGGGUUGUAAACUUCUUUUGUCAGGGACGAAGAAAUGACGGUACCUGACGAAUAAGCCACGGCUAACUACGUG